AGACCUGUGAAGAUGUGAGCGAUCUCAGGGAAAGUCUCCAGUGCAGUUGAAGUCCGGGGCCAGAGAUGAACACUUUACUACCGUCCUUUUUGAACGUGGAGCUGCUGCUCUUUGCAGUGGCAUCUGCAAAGUUAUUCACUGAACACCAGGAGGGCAGCCUUGCUGGAGGAACAUGGAUCACCCUGACAUUGGAUGGUCUGACAUCUCCCCAGUUACAGUUCAUGUACUCCACCAGUGGGUCUUUGCUAGAAGUGUCCCUAGUGAAUCCCAUUCUGCCUCCGGUACGGUGCGAUGUCCAUCCUGUAUAUUUCGAUGUAUCCAUCAUCAGAUGCAAAA